AGUGAACGCUGGCGGUAGGCCUAACACAUGCAAGUCGAACGGCAGCACAGUAAGAGCUUGCUCUUACGGGUGGCGAGUGGCGGACGGGUGAGGAAUACAUCGGAAUCUACUUUUUCGUGGGGGAUAAAGUAGGGAAACUUACGCUAAUACCGCAUAAGACCUACGGGUGAAAGCAGGGGAUCUUGGGACCUUGCGCGAUUGAAUGAGCCGAUGUCGGAUUAGCUAGUUGGCGGGGUAAAGGCCCACCAAGGCGACGAUGCGUAGCUGGUCUGAGAGGAUGGUCAGCCACACUGGAACUGAGACACGGUCCAGACUCCUACGGGAGGCAGCAGUGGGGAAUAUUGGACAAUGGGCGCAAGCCUGAUCCAGCCAUACCGCGUGGGUGAAGAAGGCCUUCGGGUUGUAAAGCCCUUUUGUUGGGAAAGAAAAGCAGCAGGUUAAUACCCCGCUGUUCUGACGGUACCCUAAGAAUAAGCACCGGCUAACUUCGUG
rnacentral:rRNA from 1 species